AACCUAGCACACCUGCGGUGUGUACCUGCGGAAGGAUCAUUACAGAGUUAUCCAACUCCCAAACCCAUGUGAACUUAUCUCUUUGUUGCCUCGGCGCAAGCUACCCGGGACCCCGCGCCCCGGGCGGCCCGCCGGCGGACAAACCAAAACUCUUGUUAUCUUAGUUGAUUCUCUGAGCGUCUUAUUUAAUAAGUCAAAACUUUCAGCAACGGAUCU
rnacentral:misc_RNA from 1 species